UUCCCAACAUCAGUGUGUGAGCAUCCAUGA
rnacentral:piRNA from 1 species